UAAUACUUCAUAAGACCACAGUGACUAAUGUCACAGAGGUAAAAGUAGUAAUACGCUUGAGGAUGAGUCUGCGUCAGAUUAGCUAGUUGGUGAGGUAAUGGCUCACCAAGGCUUCGAUCUGUAGCUGGUCUGAGAGGAUGAUCAGCCUCACUGGAACUGACACACGGUCCAGACUCCUACGGGAGGCAGCAGUAGGGAAUAUUGCACAACGGAGGAAACUCUGAUGCAGCGACGCCGCGUGAGUGAUGAAGGACUUCGGUUUGUAAAGCUCUGUUGUCAGGGAAUAAAAAAAUGAAUGUACCUGACGAGAAAGGACCGGCUAACUUCGUGCCAGCAGCCGCGGUAAUACGAAGGGUCCAAGCGUUGCUCGGAAUCAUUGGGCGUAAAGCGAGUGCGGGUGGCUCUCUAAGUCAGGAGUGAAAGCCCAGGGCUCAACCCUGGAAGUGCUUUUGAUACUGGAGAGCUUGAAUGUGGGAGAGGGUGCUAGAAUACCUAGUGUAGUGGUGAAAUACGUAGAUAUUAGGUGGAACACCGGUGGCGAAGGCGGGCACCUGGCCCAACAUUGACACUUAGACUCGAAAGCGUGGGGAUCAAACAGGAUUAGAUACCCUGGUAGUCCACGCUGUAAACGAUGGAUACUUGGUGUUGGAGGUAUUGACCCCUUCAGUGCCGAAGCUAACGCGUUAAGUAUCCCGC
rnacentral:rRNA from 1 species